rnacentral:rRNA from 1 species
AUUGAACGCUGGCGGCAGGCCUAACACAUGCAAGUCGAACGAGUGGCGGACGGGUGAGUAAUGUCUGGGAAACUGCCUGAUGGAGGGGGAUAACUACUGGAAACGGUAGCUAAUACCGCAUCCCAUCGGAUGUGCCCAGAUGGGAUUAGCUAGUAGGUGGGGUAACGGCCCACCUAGGCGACGAUCCCUAGCUGGUCUGAGAGGAUGACCAGCCACAGUGGAACGGAGACACGGUCCAUACUCCGACUGGAGGCAGCAGUGGGGAAUAUUGCACAAUGGGCGCAAGCCUGAUGCAGCCAUGCGGCGUGUAUGAAGAAGGCCUUCGGGUGGUAAAGUACUUUCAGCGGGGAGGCGUUACCCGCAGAAGAAGCACCGGCUAACUCCGUGCCAGCAGCCGCGGUAAUUC